rnacentral:rRNA from 1 species
CACGUAGGGUGCAAGCGUUUGUCCGGAAUUAUUGGGCGUAAAGGGCUCGUAGGCGGUCCGUCACGUCGGGAGUGAAAACUCGGGGCUCAACCCCGAGCCUGCUUUCGAUACGGGCGGACUAGAGGUAGGUAGGGGGAGAACGGAAUUCCUGGUGUAGCGGUGGAAUGCGCAGAUAUCAGGAGGAACACCGGUGGCGAAGGCGGUUCUCUGGGCAUUACCUGACGCUGAGGAGCGAAAGUGUGGGGAGCGAACAGG